CUGACAGCCCUGAACUCUGUGCUCCUCUCUUCAUCCACUGAACAGGUACAGCAUGGGCAAUUGCAGAACAAUCUCCAUAGCACUGUCCUGCUGAUGUACCCUAGCUUGACCUAGAGGGAUCCUGCUUAAGGAGGAGAAAGUAGUCCAGGCUCCAGAUCUAUUAAGUCCUUGAUCUCU
rnacentral:sRNA from 1 species